UACGAAGGUCCCAAGCGUUAUCCGGAUUUAUUGGGUUUAAAGGGUGCGUAGGCGGGUUAUUAAGUCAGUGGUGAAAGCCUGCAGCUUAACUGCAGAAUUGCCAUUGAUACUGAUGAUCUUGAGUAUGAUUGAGGUGGGCGGAAUGUGUCAUGUAGCGGUGAAAUGACUUAGAUAUGACACAGAACACCGAUUGCGAAGGC
rnacentral:rRNA from 1 species